CAGAAAGGAACAUGAGGUCAGCAAGGCUUGUGCAUUGCUUUAAAAGAACUUCGCUCCCCCACGAGACCAAGAAGGGUUCUUCCUGAAAGUGCCGUAGAGAAACAGUACUUUCCCAUGGCCUGGAAGGGACCAGAGGGACACACGGAGUUUGGGGUCUCAGAGAGAACCCCGGCCCCGAUCCUUCCAGGGGGUUCUGUGGGGCCAGGGGUUCCGAAGCAGUAUCUCUCCCUGGCAAGUCCUCUGAAAAUGCUCAGUCCCUCUUACGAGAGAGAGAGUUUACUCACUGUCGUCGGUUUCAUGUACUGGGUUUCAGAGUAUGAUUUUGAACGAUAAAGAUCUCUGUGACCAAAACAACUUUAAUUUGCAAGAGUGGACUUGACCCUAAGAGGCUCAAUGGCUUCCCGAAGCCACACGUGCAGUUUAAGGGACCAGGACCUCUGCCGUUUCCGGGGCUCGAAUUCUGGUGUGUGCCAGGCCCCCUGCUCAGUGCCGGGAGGGGAAGUUCCUGCCCAGGGGCUUGGCCCGGCCUGGGGGGAGACAGGGGCUCUCGGGACAUCCCAAAAGUCGUCAGAAUAGGUCCAUUUUCUCCCCUCUCUCAGGAUGGUGGAGGCCAAGAAUGUCUUGCUUCCCUUUGUGAGGCCCUGGCUUGGCAUGAAACUUGAUGUGACCCCAGAAGGAUCUGCAAGCAGGGGUGGAAGAAGGAGGGAUGAGACUGUCGUGAGCAGCCCCCCAUCCAGCAGCCCCAUCCAGUAGCCCCCGUCAGCGUGCUCAGGGUGUGCGAGCAUCCAGCACGCCGUGGGGUCAGGCACCAGCCCUUAAGGAGUCGGCAAAAGAUCACCAGCCUCCUUCACGGCCUGGCUCACUAGCAAGGCCCUGCCCAGGAAGUGUGGGUGUCUCAGACCUGGAGGGGUGCAGACACGUGUGCGUGAUUUCUAACGUAUACACCGUGGAGCACGGGCCAGCGGCUGUGAGACACAGGCAGGGGGAGGGCGGACCUGGGGACAGGGUCACGGAGAGCGGUGGCUCGGCAGGGCCCUCGGAGCACGAGCAGACAGGACAAAGUCCAGACCGGCCACGGUGUGUCCCUCGCAGCCAGCACCCCCGCAGGGACACAGGGGUGCGGAAUCAAAAAGGAAAAUCAGUGGGAUCCCAAGCGCUGGAAGGGAAAAUGUGGGACCACGGUCACCUCGUGCUCCUGGGAGAAGAAUGGCGUCCUGUGUGACACCCCAGCUGGACCCCCUGCUUCUUCACAGUGGUGUUGGCCCCUUUGCCUGAUUUUAAGCGAAAGGCAAGUUUUGAAGCGUAUGCAACGAUCGCCUGCACUCGAUUUGGGGUCGCUCCAGUGUUGGUGGGGAGACGGCCCUUCACACUCGGCCCUGAGAGCACUCACCUGGGCGCUUGCCUGUGCUUCUCUGUCCCGCACCUUCUGCUAACUGCGCGGACCACGUGGGACCCUCAGGCAGGGACACGUGAACUCAUUUUGUUUUCCCUACGGACCUUUCGGAACUGUGGACAGACCGUGCCCACGAGGGGAGCAGCCGUUGGGGGGGCCUGUGGGAACGUUCUGUCUCGUGGGACAGAUGGGUAAGCCAGCCUUGCCUCCCUCCACACCAGCCCCCCGAUGGCACCCUCUGACCACAUCUUGGCCGCAUCCUGAUACUGAGAAGAAGAUGUUAACAUUAAAAAAAAAACACAGG